UGGGUAUGUACACACACACACACACACACACACAGUCAUACAUAUGCAACAAUAAGAAAAACAAAAUUUAGAAAAAAAAAUUCUGCCUAUAAUAAUAGGAUUUGUAUGGGAUGGUUACAGACACAUAAACAUACUUGUAUAGGACCAAACUGGCUCCAUUUUUUGGCAAGAAAAUAUAAAAUAAAAUUAGAAUAAUAGAGUACUUAUGGCAGACAUAGGGUAAAGCCAUACUCAUGUCCUU
rnacentral:lncRNA from 1 species